CAGAAAAAAAAAAAACAAAACGCGUCCUCCCACCUUCCUUUUGCGAACCCUAAUUCUUGAAGCUGGCCUCCACUCAGCCUCCCUCUCACUCUCACGCUCUCAUACUCUCUCUUCUCUUUCACCGCUGAGAUUGAACUACACUAACAAAUCAUAGUUAGUCAGGGACACACAGAAACACUGUUUCUUCCACCAUGAGUUUCGCGGCGUACAAGAUGAUGCAGUGCCCCACCGACAUCGACAAUUGUGCCACCGGGUUCCUCACCCACUCUCGCUCUCACUUCGUCCUUCUCCAGCCCGACGACAUCGACGCCGAGUGGCCCUCCCGCCCUCGCCACCACGUCGGCUCCCUCCCCAACCUCGUCGUCACCGUCCUCGAAGUCUAUGUCGUCCGCCUCUAGGGGGACCAACCGCCCAAGGCCGCCGCCGACUCCCGCCGUGGUGCCCUCCUCGACGGCAUCGCCGGGGCCUCCCUCGAACUCGUGUGCCACUACAGCCAUCAUCUUUGCCUUGUCAGCCUGCAUUGACCAUUUUUGCAUCAAAGUGUAAUACUUGAAAUGGCUUCAAGCCAUGCUCAAUUAGAUUUUUCAGGCGUUUUGUCAGGUUUUCAAUGUAGUGCAGCCACCUAGUGAACUAGCCUUCUUUAUAGUCUUUUGCUUUUAUACACGUGACUCCUUUGUUUUGUAGUAACUUGCACUAUUUCCCCUUUUUUGGGGUCAUUUAUGAUACUUUCCUAGUUCUCUUUCUUUUAAAAUCACAUCACUGUUUGUUUUUAUAA